rnacentral:rRNA from 1 species
CCCGCCUGGGGAGUACGGUCGCAAGGCUGAAACUUAAAGGAAUUGACGGACUCCUACGGGAGGCAGCAGUGGGGAAUAUUGGACAAUGGGGGCAACCCUGAUCCAGCAAUGCCGCGUGAGUGAUGAAGGCCUUAGGGUUGUAAAGCUCUUUUGGCGGGGACGAUGAUGACGGUACCCGCAGAAUAAGCCCCGGCUAACUUCGUGCCAGCAGCCGCGGUAAUACGAAGGGGGCUAGCGUUGUUCGGAAUUACUGGGCGUAAAGGGCGUGUAGGCGGCUGACUAAGUCACGUGUGAAAGCCCCGGGCUUAACCCGGGAAAUGCGCGUGAGACUGGUCGGCUAGAAUCCGGGAGAGGGUAGUGGAAUUCCCAGUGUAGAGGUGAAAUUCGUAGAUAUUGGGAAGAACACCAGUGGCGAAGGCGGCUACCUGGUCCAGCACCGACGUUCAGGCACGAAAGCGUGGGGAGCAAACAGGAUUAGAUACCCUGGUAGUCCACGCCGUAAACGAUGUGCGCUAGACGUUGGAAGGCUUAGCCUUUCGGUGUCGCAGCUAACGCGAUAAGCGCACCGCCUGGGGAGUACGGCCGCAAGGUUGAAACUUAAAGGAAUUGACG